AACUUUUGACAAUGGAUCACUUGGCUCUCGCAUCGAUGAAGAACGCAGCGAAAUGCGAUACGUAAUGUGAAUUGUAGAAUUCCGUGAAUCAUCGAAUCUUUGAACGCACCUUGCGCCUCUUGGUAUUCCGAGGGGCAUGCCUGUUUGAGUGUGAUUGAAUCCUCAAAAGAAGAAUCGUAACAGAUUAUCUCUUUUGGACUUGGGGUGUGGUGGCCUUUUUGUUUAGCAAAGCCCAGCUACCAUGUAAUACAUUAGCGCUGUGCCAUUCGCAUGGGACCUAGCUUCCCUGGCAUUGAUUGUCUUUUCCAGCUUGAGCGUGUUGUGCAGCUGUGGAAAGAUUUGCACGCCCACAAAUUGCAUCAAGAGUUUGCCACCCAAUCCUCAUGACCAAAUUAACCUCAAAUCAGGUAGGAUUACCCGCUGAACUUAAGCAUAUCAAUAAGCGGAGGCU
rnacentral:misc_RNA from 1 species